rnacentral:rRNA from 1 species
AUUGAACGCUGGCGGCAGGCCUAACACAUGCAAGUCGAACGAGUGGCGGACGGGUGAGUAAUGUCUGGGAAACUGCCCGAUGGAGGGGGAUAACUACUGGAAACGGUAGCUAAUACCGCAUACCAUCGGAUGUGCCCAGAUGGGAUUAGCUAGUAGGUGGGGUAACGGCUCACCUAGGCGACGAUCCCUAGCUGGUCUGAGAGGAUGACCAGCCACACUGGAACUGAGACACGGUCCAGACUCCGACGGGAGGCAGCAGUGGGGAAUAUUGCACAAUGGGCGCAAGCCUGAGGCAGCCAUGCCGCGUGUAGGAAGAAGGCCUUCGGGUUGUAAAGUACUUGCAGCGGGGAGGCGUUACCCGCAGAAGAAGCACCGGCUAACUCCGUGCCAGCAGCCGCGGUAAUUC